rnacentral:rRNA from 1 species
GACGAACGCUGGCGGCGUGCUUAACACAUGCAAGUCGAACGAAGUGGCGAACGGGAGAGUAAUACGUGGGUAACCUGCCCUCCUUUUUGGGAUAAGCCUUGGAAACGGGGUCUAAUAACGAAUAAAGGGGGAUGGGCGCGUGGCCUAUCAGCUUGUUGGUGGGGUGAUGGCCUACCAAGGCGGUGAGGGGUAGCGGGGAUGAGAGGGUGAACGGCGACAGUGGGACUGACCUACGGCCUAGACGACUCCGGGGGGGAGAAGAGGGGACUAUUGCACAAUGGGUGAAAGACCGAUGCAGCGAGGACGAGUGGGGGAUGAAGGUUUUAGAGUUGUAAAACUCUGUCGGUAUCGAACGGGUACGUGCAGAAGAAGCGCCGGCUAACUACGUGCCAGCAGCCGCGGUAAUAC